rnacentral:rRNA from 1 species
UACGAAGGGGGCUAGCGUUGCUCGGAAUUACUGGGCGUAAAGGGAGCGUAGGCGGAUAGUUUAGUCAGAGGUGAAAGCCCAGGGCUCAACCCUGGAAUAGCCUUUGAUACUGGCUGUCUUGAGUAUGGGAGAGGUAAGCGGAACUCCGAGUGUAGAGGUGAAAUUCGUAGAUAUUCGGAAGAACACCAGUGGCGAAGGCGGCUUACUGGCCCAUUACUGACGCUGAGGCUCGAAAGCGUGGGGAGCAAACAGG